rnacentral:rRNA from 1 species
CUAUACUCGGGGGAUAGCCCGAUGAAAGUUGGAUUAAUACCGCAUAUAGCUAUAUAGUUGCAUGAUUAUGUAGUGAAAGAUUUAUUGGUAUAGGAGGAGUCUGCGGCACAUUAGCUAGUAGGUGAGGUAAAGGCUUACCUAGGCGACGAUGUGUAGCCGGUCUGAGAGGAUGAACGGCCACAAUGGAACUGAGACACGGUCCAUACUCCUACGGGAGGCAGCAGUGGGGAAUAUUGCACAAUGGGGGAAACCCUGAUGCAGCAACGCCGCGUGAGUGAAGAAGGUUUUCGGAUUGUAAAGCUCUGUUAGCAGGGAAGAGGAAGGACGGUACCUGCAGAGGAAGCCACGGCUAACUACGUGCCAGCAGCCGCGGUAAUACGUAGGUGGCAAGCGUUGUUUGGAAUAACUGGGCGUAAAGGAUGCGUAGGCGGUUAAACAAGUUAUAUGUUAAAUAUAUAGGCUUAACCUGUAGAAAGCAUAUAAAACUGUUUAACUAGAAUGCAGGAGAAGUAAGUGGAAUUCCUAGUGUAGCGGUGAAAUGC